rnacentral:lncRNA from 1 species
CCGACCAAACCACAAUCAAGAAUGGCAAUCCAGCCAAAAAGAAGCAAUUUAAGAUAACUCAGCUGAGCAAGAACAAUAAUCCUCCCUAAAACCGAGGAGUCACGAGUACAUAGCCUCUAACAAAACAAGAUACAAGUCUGAACGGGAAUGAUACAAAGUCUGGCAAAAUAGCAAAAAGAAACAUGGCUGAUAGAAACAGAGUAAGUGGUCCUGCGGACACUGAGCAGCUACCUCAAUACUCGGAAUAGCUCCGGAAAUCAACAUCUGCAACACUGGGUCUCUGGAGCACCUAGAUCUGCACACAAGGUGCAGGGAGUAUAGGGUGAGUCUACCAACUCAGCGAGUAAUAAGCAUGUAUAAAUACCCGAAGAUAAGAAGACACGAAAUAACAUAAAACGAAGCUAUCAAGCAGUUCUAUACAAUACCAGUCUCAUAGAUAUACAGAAAAAACAAUAGUAAAUAAAUGUAUGAGAUGCAAUGCAAUGCAUGAACACUGCAAAAAUUACGAAAUAAAACAAAAUGAAGCUAUCUUGCAGUUCUAUAUAGUACAAGCCUCAGAGAUAUGCAAAUAAAGCAAUAGUAAAUAGAUGCAUGAUAUGCAAUGCAAUGCAUGAACACUGCGCAGCCUGAUUCAUAUGGGUACCCGCGCUCACUGUGGGGGUUUAGACUCCGGAGGGGCUCCUACAGCCCAAACGCCAUAUCACACAGUGCGAAUAGUUACCACUAUUUCCAUCACAAUACACGGUGUCCUUAGUUAUCACCAUUUCCAUUACAAUACAUGGUGUCCUUAGUUACCACCGUUUCCAUUUAAAAUACACAGUGUCCUUAGAUACCACCAUUUCUAUUUAAAAUACACGUUGUCCUUUGUUACUACCGUUUUCAUUUAAAAUACACGGUGUCCUUAGUUACCACCGUUUCCAUUUAAAAUACACGAUGUCCUUAGUUACUACUGUUUCCAUUUAAAAUACAUGGUGUCCUUAGUUACCACCGUUUCUAUUUUAAAAUAAUAUACAUUCCAAAAAUAGCGAGAUAGCACUCGUCAACCCGAAAUAUCAUUUAAAAUCAUUUGAGUUCUCAAAACGUAUAAAUAAGUUUGAGUUUGCAAAAAUAGUAUUUAAACCUGGACUGGUAUCAAAUAAUAUGCAAAUCAUGAAAAUUCUAAGAUAACGAUCCCUGAAGGAUUCUACAAGUUGGCACAAGGCCCCAAGCAUGGUAUCAAGCCCAAAUAUCAUCAAUAUAGUAUGCAAAGCAAUCGCCAACAUAGUACAAUACAACUCUCGGAUUUGGACCGAGUCAUAAUUUACAACAUAUACGACCCCGCACUAGCCAUGGAGUGCGUGUCCAGCCUCAUAAUAGUGUCAAAAUAUGAUAUACCGGGGUUUCAAACCCCCAGGUCAUCUUCUACACCCAUUACUCACCUCAAGCCAGCCGCAAACUAGCUCGGAAUGCUUUUCCCUCGAGAAUCAACCUCCGCGGAUGCCAAAUCUGAUAAAAACCAAUAGGAAUACGUCAANNNNNNNNNNNNNNNNNNNNNNNNNNNNNNNNNNNNNNNNNNNNNNNNNNNNNNNNNNNNNNNNNNNNNNNNNNNNNNNNNNNNNNNNNNNNNNNNNNNAAUAGGAAUACGUCAAAAUAGGCUAAUGGAACAUAACCCAAUCAAAAUAACUCGAAAUACACCCAAAAAUAUGAAGUUGGCAAAACCCGAGCCCACUUCUCGAAAAAUUACAAAAUUCACAUUCCCAGAAUCCUCGUCUCGCCACGAAUUCAUUCAUAUAAAAUUUACAAGAAUCGGAGUCCAUUUGACCCCUCAAAUCCACACUUAAAUUUCACUUGGGUUUCAAGCCUUAACCAACAUUUUUAACAUUGAAAACCUUGAUUCCUUAGUUUUAAUCCAUGAUUUUACUCUAUAUUAUUGUACUUUAGGUCCAAGAGAUCAUACCUGAAGAAUCCCCUCGAACAUCUCUCCAAAAAUCGCCCUCAAUCGCCUAAGUCCGAAGUUCAAUUGUUGUUCCUGUUUUUAAAAUUAUAUGAAACACAGAUGCAC